AUUGAACGCUGGCGGAAUGCUUUACACAUGCAAGUCGAACGGCAGCACGGGGGCAACCCUGGUGGCGAGUGGCGAACGGGUGAGUAAUACAUCGGAACGUGCCCAGUCGUGGGGGAUAACGCAGCGAAAGCUGUGCUAAUACCGCAUACGAUCUAUGGAUGAAAGCGGGGGACCGUAAGGCCUCGCGCGAUUGGAGCGGCCGAUGGCCGAUUAGGUAGUUGGUGGGGUAAAGGCUCACCAAGCCGAGGAUCUGUACGUGGUCUGAGAGGACGACCAGCCAGACUGGGAGUGAGACACGGCCCAGACUCCUACGGGAGGCAGCAGUGGGGAAUUUUGGACAAUGGGCGCAAGCCUGAUCCAGCCAUUCCGCGUGCAGGAUGAAGGCCCUCGGGUUGUAAACUGCUUUUGUACGGAACGAAAAGCCUUCUUCUAAUACAGGAGGGUCAUGACGGUACCGUAAGAAUAAGCACCGGCUAACUACGUGCCAGCAGCCGCCGUAA
rnacentral:rRNA from 1 species